CCUACGGGAGGCAGCAGUGGGGAAUAUUGGGCAAUGGAGGAAACUCUGACCCAGCGACGCCGCGUGCGGGAUGAAGGCCUUCGGGUUGUAAACCGCUUUCAGUAGGGAAGAAGCGAAAGUGACGGUACCUACAAAAGAAGCACCGGCUAACUAUGUGCCAGCAGCCGCGGUAAUACAUAGGGUGCAAGCGUUGUCCGGAAUUAUUGGGCGUAAAGAGCUCGUAGGUCGUUUGUUACGUCGGAUGUGAAAACCUGAGGCUCAACCUCAGGCCUGCAUUCGAUACGGGCAAACUAGAGUUUGGUAGGGGAGACUGGAAUUCCUGGUGUAGCGGUGGAAUGCGCAGAUAUCAGGAGGAACACCAAUGGCGAAGGCAGGUCUCUGGGCCAAUACUGACACUGAGGAGCGAAAGUCUGGGGAGCGAACAGGAUUAGAUACCCUGGUAGUCCAGACCGUAAACGGUGGGCACUAGUUGUGGGAACCUUCCACGGUUUCUGCGACGCAGCUAACGCAUUAAGUGCCCCGCCUGGGGAGUACGAUCGCAAGAUUAAAACUCAAAUGAAUUGACGGCNGAGACGUGCGACGACGACGACGAGGAGAGG
rnacentral:rRNA from 1 species